CAGAGAACUGGAGUUCCUUUGAAUGGGGCGGCGAGGUCUCAAAUCAACUUAGUUGUGAAAAACAUGAACGGAUUCAACGACAAAGUCAAAAAGUUCAGUAACCUCUCAAUUCCACUUGUAUGGAUCGAAUAUAUUCAAAUGGGGAUUCCUUGGUAUAUCCAGGCGCUUGUGUACUCCCAAGUUAUCAUAAUGCCAGUGCUGCAAAUUAUUUUUUCUAUAGUUUUGUUCAUUGUGGGUAUAAUUUUAAUAUUUUUAUUUUUCCGCAAGAGACGAACUUCUAAAAGUAAUUUGAUAGCAAAUAGGGCGAUUAAGUUUGAGACUGAAAAGUUCCUGAAGCCAUGAAGUAACAUUGUUAUCACAUAAUAUGGAAAGUAUUCAAAAUGAUUGUUGAAUUCCGCUACUAUUUUUGAAGUUAUAUUUACAUGGUUUUGAACUGAAAAGUCUAUAAACUUUAUAUCUGUGAUAUCGUUGGAAUGAGAGGGAAGGAUAUUUUAUACCAAAAUACAAAUGAUUACAUUAAUAAACAAUGUGUAAUGAUUU